CACUGUCCUCUGCUGUCCUGUGAUAUCCAGGUGAACAAGCAGAACAGUGAAACUCACCUAGUAGACAGGUGGAAAGGAGGGUUUCCCUCUGAGACACCACAGGUCAGCAGACUGCCCUUCUUCCCAGACCAGCUGGGGAGGCAGAGUAGGAGGAGGGUCUAUAGCAGCUGGAGAAAUUCAAACCCUGUGGUUAGUAAUCCCUUUUCCAACCAAAGGGACAGGUUAACCAGUAAUGUCCUUGUAAAUAUGACUGGGUACCUGGCUUUGUGAACAAGACAGCACCUUUGAAAAGUGGCUGGGAAUGGGACACCUGCUGUACCUUUCUCCAGCUAAGCAUUCAAUAGGAAGCAUGCUGAAACUGUUAUCUUUAAAAAAACGGUCUCACGAAUUCCG
rnacentral:sRNA from 1 species